UGCCCAGGUUAAUUGAAGUGGGGGAUCCAUCCACCUGGGCCACCUGAUGGAGUGUUGACUCUCAUUUAAGCACAGAAAGGGACAAACCGCGGCUUUGAAAGAUUACCCGGCUGUGGCUCGGCGUAUGCAGCUCACGCGGGGAUCUACGUCGGCUACAUUCUGCUUUCAUAUCGUAGUUUCAGCAGAAAAGAGGAAAAGAAGAGAAAAGAGGAAAACAAAGACAAGGAUAAAGGAGGCAAAAAAACUACAAAAAGACAUUAAUAAGAACACAUCGAGACACUAGACAAAAAAACUGAAGAUAUCAAGGCACAA